rnacentral:rRNA from 1 species
GACGAACGCUGGCGGCGUGCUUAACACAUGCAAGUCGAACGGAAAGGCCCUGCUUUUGUGGGGUGCUCGAGUGGCGAACGGGUGAGUAACACGUGAGUAACCUGCCCUUGACUUUGGGAUAACUUCAGGAAACUGGGGCUAAUACCGGAUAGGAGCUCCUGCUGCAUGGUGGGGGUUGGAAAGUUUCGGCGGUUGGGGAUGGACUCGCGGCUUAUCAGCUUGUUGGUGGGGUAGUGGCUUACCAAGGCUUUGACGGGUAGCCGGCCUGAGAGGGUGACCGGCCACAUUGGGACUGAGAUAAGGCCCAGACUCCUACGGGAGGCAGCAGUGGGGAAUAUUGCACAAUGGGCGGAAGCCUGAUGCAGCAACGCCGCGUGCGGGAUGACGGCCUUCGGGUUGUAAACCGCUUUCGCCUGUGACGAAGCGUGAGUGACGGUAAUGGGUAAAGAAGCCCCGGCUAACUACGUG